GACGAACGCUGGCGGCGUGCUUAACACAUGCAAGUCGAGCGGUAAGGCCCUUUCGGGGGUACACGAGCGGCGAACGGGUGAGUAACACGUGGGUGACCUGCCCUCAGCUCUGGGAUAAGCCCGGGAAACUGGGUCUAAUACCGGAUAUGACUCCACGGUGCAUGUCGUGGGGUGGAAAGCCUUGUGCGGCUGAGGAUGGGCCCGCGGCCUAUCAGCUUGUUGGUGGGGUGAUGGCCUACCAAGGCGACGACGGGUAGCCGGCCUGAGAGGGCGACCGGCCACACUGGGACUGAGACACGGCCCAGACUCCUACGGGAGGCAGCAGUGGGGAAUCUUGCGCAAUGGGCGAAAGCCUGACGCAGCGACGCCGCGUGAGGGAUGACGGCCUC
rnacentral:rRNA from 1 species